rnacentral:tRNA from 1 species
UUUAAUAUAGCAUAUUUAUUAAUGUAUUAAAUUUAGAAUUUAAAGAAAAAAUUAAUUUUUAUUAAAU